AAACUGGGAUUAGAUACCCCACUAUGCCUAGCCCUAAACAUUGAUAGAAUUUUACAACCUCUAUCCGCCCGGGGACUACAAGCAUCAGCUUGAAACCCAAAGGACUUGGCGGUGCUUUAGAUCCACCUAGAGGAGCCUGUUCUAGAACCGAUAACCCCCGUUCAACCUCACCCCUCUUUGUUAAUACCGCCUAUAUACCACCGUCGUCAGCUUACCCUGUGAGGGAUCAAUAGUAAGCUUAACUGGUAAAACCCUAAACGUCAGGUCGAGGUGUAGCGUAUGGAGGGGGAAGAAAUGGGCUACAUUCGCUACAACAGCGAACACGAAUGAUGUCCUGAAACGUACAUCUGAAGGAGGAUUUAGCAGUAAGUAGAAAAUAGAGUGUUCUACUGAAAUUGGCCCUGAAGCGCGCACACACCGCC
rnacentral:rRNA from 1 species